rnacentral:lncRNA from 1 species
AAUCCUGUGUUACCACGAAAAAACGUCAAGCAAGUAUUUCAAUUUUGAACUUCAAGCUUCCAAUUCCGAAUGACAAAUUGCGAUAAAUUAAAUUCGGGAAAAGAGUGACAAAUAAAAUAUGAAAUCUUGCAAAUUGAAGGGAAGAGAUAGAUUGAUAAUUUGAGGAUUGAGAUUGAGAUAAGAAUUUUGAGUGAAGAAAUGAAGA